UACGAAGGGGGCUAGCGUUGCUCGGAAUCACUGGGCGUAAAGCGCACGUAGGCGGCUUGUUAAGUCAGGGGUGAAAUCCUGGAGCUCAACUCCAGAACUGCCUUUGAUACUGGCGAGCUUGAGUUCGGAGAGGUGAGUGGAACUGCGAGUGUAGAGGUGAAAUUCGUAGAUAUUCGCAAGAACACCAGUGGCGAAGGCGGCUCACUGGCCCGAUACUGACGCUGAGGUGCGAAAGCGUGGGGAGCAAACAGG
rnacentral:rRNA from 1 species